CCCGGCGGCCGUAGCGCGGUGGUCCCACCUGACCCCAUGCCGAACUCAGAAGUGAAACGCCGUAGCGCCGAUGGUAGUGUGGGGUCUCCCCAUGCGAGAGUAGGGAACUGCCAGGC
rnacentral:rRNA from 6 species